GGGUUGUGAGGUUAAGCGACUAAGCGUACACGGUGGAUGCCCUGGCAGUCAGAGGCGAUGAAGGACGUGCUAAUCUGCGAUAAGCGCCGGUAAGGUGAUAUGAACCGUUAUAACCGGCGAUUUCCGAAUGGGGAAACCCAGUGUGACUCGUCACACUAUCAUUAACUGAAUCCAUAGGUUAAUGA
rnacentral:rRNA from 3 species